UAAUUAGCUGGAGUUGCAUUUCAAAGUGCAACUGAUAUGAUUUGGCUGGAUUAAUCUGUAUUCUGGAAAAUAUGGGACAGUCAUAUAGAUACUGGUGUUACUCUGUUCAUAUUCACACUUUUACCUUGCAUUCCUGAGACACAUAAUUUUUGAUAUACUGCCACAAUCUACUCCCAAAACAUCACUGAUGACGAAACGAUAAUAAUCUUUGGAAACAUUUCCUCUCAAGUUCCAAAGUUUUCAGUCAGCAGAAAAAAAAAAGAAAGAAGACGAAAUUUCAAAGGUGCUGAGAAAAGCCCAGGGCUCACAGCUGGUUUCAGCAACUUCAACUUGCGUAAGACCCCAUGUUUGUGAAAACAACCCAAGAAUCUUUGAACAGGAUGUAAUCAACCUCCGAUCUGCUGAGAAAUACUGCAAAAAUGACUUCAGCUGCCAAAAAUAAUAAUGUCGUUUACAAGCAGCUCUUCCUAUGUCUAAGGAAGAACUAGUCACACAUGCGAGUUUUUGCUGGCUUGAGGAGAACAAGCAAGGAAAAAGACAAAUUCCACCUACCCUAGCCUAAAAUACACAGUGAGUCUCAGAACCCCGCGGAAGCUGUGGCUCAUUUCUAAAGGUGCUGGCAAUAUCGAGGAAGACUUGCAUCCACAAAAUUCCAAAUGGCCCGUAUCUUACAUCCAAAUAGCUGCAGAAAGAGAGAGAAGAAGAAAGGAAGUAAAAAUGAAGGAAGGAGGACUGGGACUAUGUUCAGAUGCCCUCCCUAGACCAAUUAAAUCAGAAUUUCAGAGAAAUGGUCAAGGUUAAAUGAUCAAGUCAUUAUUGGGAAUUUGGAUCUAAGUGACCUGGCAGAAACCAUGGAGAUGAUCUUGCCAUGUUUACACUGCAUCCACAGAUUGUGAUACUGUUUAUGAAGGAGAGAAAAAGUCCUUCCAUUUAUUCUUGUUCUUAAUGAAAACUUCUGAGCUGUUAUGCUUUGAAAUUACAAUGAUAAAGUGGCUCUUUGAGAAUAAAAGAUUCAAUAUAUUACAAUUGAGAAUAAAAGAUUUAAUAUAUUACAAAGCCAGCUUGUAUAUUGGACAGGGUUUUUCUCUGUUGCCCAGGAUGGAGUGCAGUGGCAAGAUCACAGGAGCCUCAACCUGCAAAGCUCACAUGAUUCUCUCACCUCAAUCUCCCAGUAGCUGGGGCUACAGGCACAUGCCACCAUGCCUGAUUAAUUAAAAAAAUAAUAAUAAUGUAAAGACAGCAUCUCACUAGGUUGUCCAGGCUUGCAGCUCUUUUUAAAAAUUGUUUUUUUUUUCACAUGGUCUUAAGAAAUAAAUUGCUUGUGAAGAUUCAUGCAUUACAGACUCAAAUUACUUUUUAACAACGUACAAUAUAUACUUAAUACAUUGAAGUGAGGUAGGAAAGAAAUCCAUUCCGAAGUGGCAGAGAAGCUGCUUUUUCCUCCUGCAUGCUGCCUGCUAGUGUGGAUCUUGGCAUAACAGACACUACUUGACAAAAGAUCCAUCCUUCCUUUUCCUAUACUUUGCUCAGUCACCUGGAAGACUGACCUCAAAAGCAAAAUCACCUGUAUUUCCUUGCCAUUUGGCUUUCAAAUGUGCUCAGCUAACGAGAGGCUGGAAAGAAAUUGACAGCUGGGAAAAGAGGAAGAUCGGUGUACAAGAGGAAGAUUGGUGUACAAGAGGAAGAUCGGUGUACAAGAGGAAGAUCGGUGUACAAGAGGAAGAUCGGUGUACAAGAGGAAGAUCGGUGUACAAGAGGAAGAUCGGUGUACAAGAGGAAGAUUGGUGUACAAGAGGAAGAUUGGUGUACCUCCCACUCACAUCUCAUUACCUGCCAUGGUCCUAGUAGUGGCUGUUCUUAUUAUGGCCACAACUACUCUUGGACAGGCUCAUAUCCACAGCUCCAUCCCUUAACUAGGCUUCAUGAACACUGUUCUCUGCCCUUAUUUCUUUCUGGGUAGGGGUGAUAAAGGUUUCCUGACAUCAGAGUUCCUGAGUGCCUCAUAUAUUGUUAGUCCCUGAACUUUGUUGGUCCCUGAACCUUGCCCCAAU